AGAGUUUGAUCAUGGCUCAGGAUGAACGCUGGCGGCGUGCUUAACACAUGCAAGUCGAACGUGAGGGUGUAGCAAUAUGCCUGAAAGUGGCGAACGGGUGAGUAACACGUAGAUGACCUGCCCUGGAGUGGGGGAUAACCAUUGGAAACGGUGGCUAAUACCGCAUACAUCCAGAAGAUUGGGAAAUUUUCUGGGGAAAGCUCUGGUGCUCUGGGAGGGGUCUGCGUCCGAUUAGCUAGUUGGUGAGGUAAAGGCUCACCAAGGCGACGAUCGGUAGCUGGUCUGAGAGGACGAUCAGCCGCACGGGAACUGAGACACGGUCCCGACUCCUACGGGGGGCAGCAGUGAGGAAUAUUGGGCAAUGGGCGAGAGCCUGACCCAGCAACGCCGCGUGGAGGAAGACGGCCUUCGGGUUGUAAACUCCUUUUGACAGGGAAGAGAGAGGACGGUACCUGUCGAAUAAGUCACGGCUAACUACGUGCCAGCAGCCGCGGUAAUACGUAGGUGACAAGCGUUAUCCGGAAUUACUGGGCGUAAAGCGCACGCAGGCGGCUGCUUAAGUCUGACGUGAAAUCUCCUGGCUUAACUGGGAGGGGUCGUUGGAAACUGGGUGGCUUGAGGUGGUGAGAGGGGUGCANAAUUCCCCGGUGUAGUGGUGGAAUGCGUAAAUAUCGG
rnacentral:rRNA from 1 species